rnacentral:misc_RNA from 1 species
GAUGAAGAACGUAGCAAAAUGCGAUAAGUAAUGUGAAUUGCAGAAUUCAGUGAAUCAUCGAAUCUUUGAACGCACAUUGCGCCCGCUGGUAUUCCGGCGGGCAUGCCUGUUCGAGCGUCAUUUCAACCCUCAAGCCCCCGGGUUUGGUGUUGGGGAUCGGCUCUGCCCUUCUGGGGGGUGCCGCCCCCGAAAUACAUUGGCGGUCUCGCUGCAGCCUCCAUUGCGUAGUAGCUAACACCUCGCAACUGGAACGCGGCGCGGCCAUGCCGUAAAACCCCAACUUCUGAAUGUUGACCUCGGAUCAGGUAGGAAUACCCGCUGAACUUAAGCAUAUCAAUAAGCGGAGGA